CUCUUAUGAAGAAACCGUUCUUACGGAAGCCCAGAUGAGACAACUUGAGACAGGAUUCAGAAACGCUGAUUUUAGUAACCUUAACCCUCGGCCCUUGGUGGGAACUUCGGCUCUGUGGGAAUUAGUCUUUGGGGGACUGAUGGUCAUGCUGAAAUCUUAUUGCGUAGGAAAUUAAGUACAACAAAGAAGACCCGUCGUGAGAGGAGAGUGCGGAAGAAAUGCGAAGUCUACGGGAGGUGGCAGCUGCAGAAGCUUGGUGUUGGAUUUGGCGUUAGGAGACCGGGAGGAGCCCAGCUUCCGGUCCAGACGGUUAUCUUGUUGACUUGCACGACUGCAAACGCCCUGAGCUGCUUUUGCAGUCUGAAACAUCAGCGAUCCCAUCAAAAUAUUCUGUUUCUUGGGAUAUAAGAAACAUCCCAAGGCGGGCUGUAGAGCGAGAGAUUUGGACUCGAUUUAAAUACAGACAAAAUAGUAUGCAUUUACUAACACCACAUCUCACCCCCACGAAACUUGGUAAGGGCAGCAACAGAACUUUAUCUGCCAUAUGCACUCCUGUAUUCCUAUUACCAAAUAGUGCCAGGGACUAAGUGAAUAUUUGUCCAAUGAAUGAGUUUUAAGUAGGAAACGUUUGCAUAGAAUCAUUUUGUUUCUUUUGGAGUUCAAAUCUUCGGAUAUUUUACCCUUCCCAAUCCAAAGAAAAGUCUCUGAGUGAAGAGAUGGGAACAAAAUACAUUAAAAUGUAUUCAGUGGAACUCACAGUUUAAAAUUCUAUGUUUCUCAUGAACUCUAACAUUCCAAUGUUGCCUUCUAAGCAAACUGAAAGCUUCCUUAUACUGAAUGAGGAAGAGUACAAAUACUCGGCUGAAUGAGGUAUCGCAAAAGACUGCAUGCACUUUGGAGAAAGACUUAAGUUAUUGUCAUACAAUUUCCAUUCUUUUUAGUGUUUUCUUAAAUAUAUGACAAAUACCUAC
rnacentral:lncRNA from 1 species